CAAAAUUUUAUCUGAAACUCAUCACCGGUAGCUAGGAACUGGUUCUUCAUUGUAUCAAAUUGCACUACUCCCACAGACCGUUUCCAAAGACCAUUAUAUACAUGCUUGAUAGCCCCCUCACUUUCAUUCCAUUCGGCAAGGUAUGAUUCUCCUUCUUCACUAGUCCCACAUGAGAAUAGCCUAUGAUGCACAAAAUAAAAGAAACAUGAUAUGGAGUUGAGCAAUUGCCCAACCACAAUGAAAAUUUUAAGGAAAUAAAUAGUUGGAUAAGUAAUGUGUAAUAAAACAUCCUUACUACCUUGUCCCGU